AUUGAACGCUGGCGGAAUGCUUUACACAUGCAAGUCGAACGGCAGCACGGACUUCGGUCUGGUGGCGAGUGGCGAACGGGUGAGUAAUACAUCGGAACGUGCCCAGUCGUGGGGGAUAACGUAGCGAAAGCUACGCUAAUACCGCAUACGAUCUAAGGAUGAAAGCGGGGGAUCGCAAGACCUCGCGCGAUUGGAGCGGCCGAUGGCAGAUUAGGUAGUUGGUAGGGUAAAGGCCUACCAAGCCGACGAUCUGUAGCUGGUCUGAGAGGAUGAUCAGCCACACUGGGACUGAGACACGGCCCAGACUCCUACGGGAGGCAGCAGUGGGGAAUUUUGGACAAUGGACGCAAGUCUGAUCCAGCCAUUCCGCGUGCAGGAUGAAGGCCCUCGGGUUGUAAACUGCUUUUGUACAGAACGAAAGGGCUCUGGUUAAUACCCGGGGCUCAUGACGGUACUGUAAGAAUAAGCACCGGCUAACUACGUGCCAGCAGCCGCAGUAACAC
rnacentral:rRNA from 1 species